rnacentral:lncRNA from 1 species
GGCACAUACCUGUAAUCCCAGCAUCUUGGGAGGCUAAGGCAGGAAGAUUGAGAGUUCAAAGCCAGCCUCAGCAACUUAAUAAGGCCCUGUCUCUAAAAUAUGAGAAUCCAGGUACAGUGGUAUCCACCUAUAAUCCUAGCAGCUCAGCAGUCUGAAACAGGAAGAUUGCGAGUUCAAAACCAGCCUCAGCAACUCAAUGAGACCCUGUCUCUAAAAAUACAAAAUACAAAAUAGGGCUUCUGGUUGUGGCUCAGUGGUGGAGUGCCCCCAAGUUCAAUCCUGGUACCAAAAUAAAUAAAACAAAAAUCAGAUGCCGGUUCCAGGUGCAAUAGCACAUGCCUGUAAUCCUAGAGAUUUGGGAGGUUGUGACUUAAGGAUCACAAAUUCCAGGCCACCCUCAGCAAUUUAGUAAGGCUUUAAGCAACUUAGCAAGACUCUUUCUCAAAAAAUAAAAAGGUUGUAGCUCAGUGAUAAAGUGCCCCUAGGUUUAAACCCAGCACCAAAAAAUUAAUAAAAUAAAAAAUAGAAACGUUUAUAAUAUCCACUUAAAUUAAAAAUAAAAUCUCCAGAGGAAAACUUGAAUCCAGAAACAAGUUUAUUUCUCCUCAAGGCAAUUUUCAUUCAUUGAAAAUUGCUCUGGUCCAGCCCACAGCCUCCCAAAAUCAAUACAGGUAUUAUGCUCUAACCCGUGGUUCAACCAUUUUGUCCACAUUUACAGAUCUACAUCCUAAACUGGGAAUGAAAAGCAAGCUAGGAACUGGGAGACAGGUGAGCGAGAAAUGAAAGAUGGAGACCAGGCAGAGAUACACAGGAGAGUUUAUUUGUCAGCGCUGACAAAUAAAGGCACAUCUCUCAAUAGACCGAGAGAGGCAAAACAGGCUUGAGGUUCAGAACUUUCAUGGGGCAGGUUCAGGGAUUAGAGCCAGGUGAGUCCUAAUGCUAGUGGUUAAGAAUGGGGUUGGUAUGAAGGAGUGAUGAGCCUUUGUCAGAAAUGCCUUUAGGCAGGAAAUUUAAGAGAAAUUUUUCUUAAAAUGGUGGCUGUCACUUAAGAUAACUGUUCAAAUACUAAGCAAGGAACUUACAGGGAGGAAAGGUUUGACUUUGUUGCCUGCUGAGCAAAAGAGAUGGUGUUGUUUUGACAGUCUGUGGUAUAUGAUUCAUUCAAAGGGGGCUGGUGAGGAAUCUGGAAGGUAGGCAAUCAAUCUGAGACUAGAAGAGAUAUA